UAGGGAAUCUUCCGCAAUGGACGCAAGUCUGACGGAGCAACGCCGCGCGAGUGAAGAAGGAUUUCGGUUCGUAAAACUCUGUUGUUAGAGAAGAACAGCGCAUAGAGUAACUGUUAUGCGUGUGACGGUAUCUAACCAGAAAGCCACGGCUAACUACGUGCCAGCAGCCGCGGUAAUACGUAGGUGGCAAGCGUUGUCCGGAUUUAUUGGGCGUAAAGCGAGCGCAGGCGGUCAAUUAAGUCUGAUGUGAAAGCCCCCGGCUCAACCGGGGAGGGUCAUUGGAAACUGGUUGACUUGAGUGCAGAAGAGGAGAGUGGAAUUCCAUGUGUAGCGGUGAAAUGCGUAGAUAUAUGGAGGAACACCAGUGGCGAAGGCGACUCUCUGGUCUGUAACUGACGCUGAGGUUCGAAAGCGUGGGUAGCAAACAGG
rnacentral:rRNA from 1 species